rnacentral:rRNA from 1 species
CCUACGGGAGGCAGCAGUGGGGAAUUUUGGACAAUGGGCGCAAGCCUGAUCCAGCAAUGCCGCGNUGCGGGAAGAAGGCCUUCGGGUUGUAAACCGCUUUUGGCAGGAACGAAACGGUGUCCGCUAAUACCGGGCGCUAAUGACGGUACCUGCAGAAUAAGCACCGGCUAACUACGUGCCAGCAGCCGCGGUAAU